rnacentral:rRNA from 1 species
GAUGAACGCUGGCGGCGUGCUUAACACAUGCAAGUCGAACGAUGAAGCCCAGCUUGCUGGGUGGAUUAGUGGCGAACGGGUGAGUAACACGUGAGUAACCUGCCCUUAACUCUGGGAUAAGCCUGGGAAACUGGGUCUAAUACCGGAUAGGAGCGUCCACCGCAUGGUGGGUGUUGGAAAGAUUUAUCGGUUUUGGAUGGACUCGCGGCCUAUCAGCUUGUUGGUGAGGUAAUGGCUCACCAAGGCGACGACGGGUAGCCGGCCUGAGAGGGUGACCGGCCAAACGGGGACUGAGACACGGCCCAGACUCCUACGGGAGGCAGCAGUGGGGAAUAUUGCACAAUGGGCGAAAGCCUGAUGCAGCGACGCCGCGUGAGGGAUGACGGCCUUCGGGUUGUAAACCUCUUUCAGUAGGGAAGAAGCGAAAGUGACGGUACCUGCAGAAGAAGCACCGGCUAACUACGUG